UCGACGUAACCCCAUGGGUCUGAUGGUUGCACUUGAUGACAACAACAGAGCAGCAGGAGAGCUAUUCUGGUAUGACGGAGUCUCUGGAGGGCGUGUUGACCACCAGGUGAUGUAUUCUGGGUACAGUGACCCUAGCAGCCUAAAGUUUGAGAACAUCUCUGUGAUUGGAGUCUCCAGUCCACCCGUGACUGUCAGUCACACAUGGCAACAAAGUCAUUGUACAUCCUUUCAACUAUGACAACAAGCAGAAAUCCUACCUGAUCGACCACCAGAGAGAGACUGCAACGGCGAUUCCCCAACCCGGACAUCCCCUGGCAAUUCCUGUGAUGCUUUGGAGCUUCCAAAAAACCUACCAAGGUAGACCACCAGACGGGGGACUGCAACAGCGAACACCAACUGGAUAUCUGCUGCCCCGCCUUGGAGUGGCCUUCUUCAUUCACAUAAACCUUACCCGGGUCAACCACCGGAGGGGGAACACAACGAUGGUCCAAAACUAGGACAACCAACGGUGUUGUAUCACAGUGCAAUAGUACCAUGUCAUGCCAGAGACCCAGCACUUUGUCUGCUACGCAGAGCUCAAUAGUGACUAGAUCAAGUGUAAUGCCAGAGGCUACA